CCUACUCCUCCAAUUCAAAGAGAUGGAAUUCUGGUAAUUAUAAUAGGGUUUAAUUACUGUGUUUUUAAGGUGCGUGGCGUGAUGGCAAAGAAAAAUUUGUGCAGAUCUCGAGUUCGAGUUAUUUCUUUGUCAAUCUCAGUGAUGUAACAUCUACUUUAAUUACCAACCAGUGAUGUAACAUUCUUUUUGCUGUGCAGAUCUCGAGUUCGAGUCAGGGCGUGCAUCUCUUGUAAGAGCCUGGGAUAACCGGGAUUUUACUCGUUUACCUGAGCCCACAAAGUACGCUUUCCGAGGGUGGGCUUUCCUCGAAUUAAAAAAAAAAAUUAAUUACUCGUGUGUGUCAUCUUUAUUUUAUAUAUAUAUAUAUAGGUCUAAUUAAUAUUAAUGAAAUUUGUAUAUUUAUUUAUAUUAUGAUUAAGAUUUCAUUCUGUCCGUAUAAAUACAAGCACG
rnacentral:lncRNA from 1 species